AUUGCAUUAAGACACAUUUAUUGUGAACUAGGAACAUAAGGUUUACUUUUCCUUUCACAUGUACACAUGUAUACAGGUAUGAUGAAAGCAUCAAGAGAACAAGGUCAGCAGGAGUGGAUGUUUCCAGCCUACGCUGGGACUGGGAGCACACAACAAUGUAGCAAUAACAACACAGGGCAGUGACAUGCACUUCACCAGUAGCACAGUACUACUAUUCAGCCAGACUGAAGUCAGGGGUGAUGAAGACGAUGCUGCCUUUGGUGUGCUGGAACUGCGGCGAGGAGGAAACGCUGCCCAUACCAGCAGAGAAGACUGCUGCAUACCAGACAAUAAACCCUGUUUGUCAGGUCUGCAAAAUGUAAUGAAAGAAACAGAACGGG